UACGUAGGGUGCGAGCGUUGUCCGGAAUUACUGGGCGUAAAGAGCUCGUAGGUGGUUUGUCACGUCGUCUGUGAAAUUCCGGGGCUUAACCUCGGGCGUGCAGGCGAUACGGGCAAUACUUGAGUGCUGUAGGGGAGACUGGAAUUCCUGGUGUAGCGGUGAAAUGCGCAGAUAUCAGGAGGAACACCAAUGGCGAAGGCAGGUCUCUGGGCAGUUACUGACGCUGAGGAGCGAAAGCAUGGAUAGCGAACAGGAUUA
rnacentral:rRNA from 1 species